rnacentral:rRNA from 1 species
AUUGAACGCUGGCGGCAUGCUUUACACAUGCAAGUCGAACGGCAGCACGGGUGCUUGCACCUGGUGGCGAGUGGCGAACGGGUGAGUAAUGCAUCGGAACGUGCCCAUGAGUGGGGGACAGCCCGGCGAAAGCCGGAUUAAUACCGCAUACGCCCUUAGGGGGAAAGCGGGGGAUCUUCGGACCUCGCGCUAUUGGAGCGGCCGAUGUCGGAUUAGCUAGUAGGUGAGGUAAAGGCUCACCCUAGGCGACGAUCCGUAGCUGGUCUGAGAGGAUGAUCAGCCACACUGGGACUGAGACACGGCCCAGACUCCUACGGGAGGCAGCAGUGGGGAAUUUUGGACAAUGGGCGCAAGCCUGAUCCAGCCAUGCCGCGUGAGUGAAGAAGGCCU